rnacentral:lncRNA from 1 species
GAUCAGAAGAGGACUCUCCUGACCAGCCUGGGAAAAGUCUGAGCAGAGUCUGCAGGGGCAAAUACAACUUACUCAGACAAAAAAGGCUGUCAGCAGCAAGUCUAGGCAGAAGCCAGGAGGAGUUAGGAACAGACUAUAAGAAAUGGUUGGUCUGGAGGAAAAAGGGUAAAACUUAUGAGCCAUUCACUGAUGUAUUGGUAAGAGGACAGGAGUCCUGGGGAAAGACUGCCUCAUUUACACUCCAAAGACUUGGGUUCUGAUCUCCAUGUCGUGGCUUAUCAUAGUGUAAGCCAGUUAUGUACCUCUAGAAAUGGAAGUUUCUGCUGUUUAUAAACUGGAAAUAAUGAUACAUGUCCUGACUCCUAUUGGGUUGUUGCAAAGGAAUCAAUUGAAAUAAGACAAGACUUUCUGAAGGCACUUUGCCAACUUUCAGAACUGUAAAGAUUAAGGGACUGCUACUAUGUGCUGCUCAGGAAAUAACAGGCACCUGGGAAAACCCACGAAGUAAGGUUUUGUAAGAAGUUGCUCUGCUCCCUGGGAGAAAACGCGGAGCUCAACACUGCCAAGAGGAACAAGUCUGGGAAAUUACGACAUGAGGGCCCUUGUGAAUUGAUGAAUAUGAAGACACUAAGAAAGCAGAAAUAGAACUGAGAAGAAUGAAAUAACUGUCUCUACCUUUCUCGAAUUGUCUAAUAUGGAAAGAAUGAAAGACAGCUAAUAAGCAACUCUCUGCAAGAAGACAUAUGGCUUAGAAUCUACUUGGAGAGAGUCAAACACAGAAUCCCUUUGAAUUUAAUGGCCAUUCCAGGUGAUUUGAACAGCCAAAUAAGAAACAGGUCCUCUUCAAUGUACAAUCUGCCAAGUAUGAAGUCUGAAUGACCAUCAUUAUUAUGUAUUUAAUGUGCAUAGAAAAUCUAUCUGCAACCUUCCAGAGUGUACCAGAAGUUUGGAAUGUACAUUAUUAUUGGCUCCAUCUCAAACCACUCAUAAAUCAAAGAAAAUAGCAGUUCCAGAGGAAUCAUCAUAGAGGCUUCUAGGCCCCCAUGCUGUGUGAACCUGGUGAGAAAGGGAAGUCUGCUCUCACUGGACACUGGAACUGUUUGUCUCUGUCUCUGCUGUACUUUCCCUGCCUCUACCUCACUUAGUAAAGAAAUCAUCUUUGCUUGAUAACUAAAACAACCAAUAAGGCUGAGAAAGGGGAAAACCCACAUCUGGAUUUAAAUACAAGGUAUUGGGCCAGCUGCUGGGGAUUAAACUUUGAACAAAACAGAUAGAAUCUAUGUCCUCAUGGGAGUGGCUAAUGGGAGAGUCGGAACAAAAAAAUAGCCAAGGAUAAUCCAGCAAAUGAUUUGGUGAAUGCUAUCAAAGAGAGAAAUACACAUGCUCUGGGAACACCAAACAGAGUCUCCCUCUCUGACCCAGGCUGGAGUGCCGUGGUAUGAUCUCGGCUCACUGCAACUUCUGCCUCCCAGCUUCAAGCAAUUCUCCUGUCUUAGCUUCCCAAGUAGCUGGGAUUACAGGCGUGCACCACCACACCAGGCUAAUUUUGUAUUUUUAGUAGAGACGGGGUUUUGCCAUGUUGGCCAGGCUGGUCUCGAACCCCUGACCUCAGGUGAUCUGCCCACCUCAACCUCCCAAAGUGCUGGGAUUACAGGUGUGAGCCACUGCAUCUGGCCUCAUAUAUUUUACUAUAACAAAUCAGUGUAGGCCAAAUAAAGUUAGAAAUGGAAGCUAAUGGAAAUAAAGAAUAGGCUUUCCUGUUAGUAUCUAUAGGUGUGUGUGUGUGUGUUCGUUAUUUAGGGAAAGAAACAGGGAACUUGGGGCAUAUAAUAUUUAUGUUCCCUUAGCUUAGGCAUAUAUGGUAUAUUUAGUUACUUAAUUAAUUUUUUAUUUAGAAGUUAUGUAUAGAGCAUUUUUCCUAGGCCAGUGGGGGAUUAAACCAGAAAUAUAAGAAGUGUCUGCCUUCUGGAAGCUUGUGAUCUAGUUAGGGGUAUCACAAGUGCACAGCGUUCACCAGUGGCAGAGAAGCAUGUGAUGAGUACCCAGAGCUUAUAUUGAGAAUAAGGUAUACAAGAAUUUAGAGGAGGCCAAUGUUGAUUUUCACCAAGAGUAUGGGACAGAGAGACAAGACAGGGUUGGUCAUCUAGUUCUGUGCACUGAAUAUAAUUUUGCAGGUUUAGGAGUGUUUGAAAACUACAAGGAAGAUAGAAUCUUGGUCUUGUUCUCCAGCAUGCCCUUUCUUGAACUCACCAGGGUAAUGCUGCAUCUUUUCAGAAAUGCCUCUGGCUUCUCAAAGCAACUUUCAUCCUGGAGAGGAACAAUUAGUCUUUGUCUUUCAUUAGUAAAAGAUUUAACGGCUCAGAAGGAGAAGCUAGUGGUGACUUUUCAAUCACCCCUUCUACCUCCCAG